UGCUGGGAUUACAGGGGUGAGCCAUCGCACCUGGCUGGCCUCACAUGUUUUUAAAAGGUCCAGUGGCCUGAUGGCUCUUGGUGCUCUUCCAGAUGAUGGUAAAAUCUCAGUGUGGACCCAGAGAAGACCGACCCUGACAUCCUUUUUUCUUGACACAUCUGAUGAAUUUUGAUGAGCUCUGAAGGGAACUGCAUUUCUCCUCAGCUGUCCUGAGUUCUGCAGUGCUUAGCGUCUGAUGUCUUCAUCUUCCUUCAGUUUCAACACUGUGUAUAACUUAGUCCUCUUCAGGACCUGUCCCCCGGCUCUCGAGAGGGACCAAAGCUGUCUAGUUUUCCACCUGGUACAAGAAGAGUGGCCCAGAGAAAGGACAAGCUCCAUGGAGGAUGUGGGCAAAACACCACCUUUUUCUUUUCUUUUGAGACAGAGUUUCCUUUUGUCUCCCAGGCUGGUGUAUG